CCUGGUUGAUCCUGCCAGUAGUCAUAUGCUUGUCUCAAAGAUUAAGCCAUGCAUGUAUAAGUAUGAAAAAAUUUAGACUGUGAAACUGCGAAUGGAUCAUUCAAUCAGUUAUAGUUUGUUUGAUGGUAUCCCUACUCGGAUAACAGUGGUAAUUCUAUAGCUAAUACGUGCAACAAACCCUGACUUUUGGAAGGGAUGCAUUUAUUAGAUAAAAGGUCGAUGCGGGCUCUGCCCGUUGCUGCAAUGAUUCAUGAUAACUCAAUGAAUCGCACGGCCAUCAUGUCGGUGAUGCAUUAUUCAAAUUUCUGUCCUAUUAAGUUUUGAUGGUAGGAUAGUGGCCUACCAUGGUGGUGAUAGGUGACAUAGAAUUAGGGUUUGAUUUUAGAUAGAGAGCCUGAGAAAUGGCUACCACAUCCAAGGAAGGCAGCAGACACGUAAAUUAUCCAAUCCUGACAUGGGGAGGUAGUGACAAUAAAUAAUAAUACCGGGCUCAAUGAGUCUGGUAAUUGGAAUGAGUACAAUCUAAAUCCCUUAACGAGGAUCCACUGGAGGGAGAGUCUGGUGACGACAACCGUGGUAAUUCCAACACCAAUAGCAUAUAUUUAAGUUGUUGUUGUUAAAAAGAUCGAAGUUUGACUUUGGGAUUAGCCAGCCGGUCCGCCUAUGGUGUGCAUUGGUCGUCUUGUCCCUUCUGGUGGCGAUGCGCUCCUGGCCUUAACUAGACGGGUUGUGCCUCUGGCACUGUUACUUUGAUGAAAUUAGAGUGCUCAAAGCUUUUAGGUUUCGGGGGGAGUAUGGUCGCAAAGCUGAAACUUAAAGGAAUUGAUGGAAGGGCACCACCAGGAGUGGAUCUUGCGGCUUAAUUUGACUCAACACGGGGAAACAUACCAGGUCCAAACAUAGUAAGGAUUAACAGACUGUGGGCUCUUUCUUCAUUCUAUGGGUGGUGGUGUAUUGCCAUUCUUAGUUGGUGGAGCGAUUUGUCUGGUUAAUUUCGUUAAUGAAUGAGACCUCAGUCUGCUAACUAGCUAUGCAGAGGUAUCCCUUCGCGUCUAGCUUCUUAAAGGGACUACGGCCUUUUAAGCCGUAGAAGUUUGAGGCAGUAAAAGGUCUGUGAUGCCCUUAGAUAUUUUGGGCCGCACGCACGCCACACUGAUGUAUUCAAUGAGUUUAUAGCCUUGGCCGACAGCCCCGGGUAAUCUUUGAAAUUUCGUCGUGAUAGGGAUAGAUCAUUGCAAUUGUUGGUCUUCAAUGAGGAAUUCCUAGUAAGCGCGAGUCAUCAGCUCGCGUUGACUACGUCCCUGCCCUUUGUACACACCACUCGUUGCUCCUACCCAUUGAAUGAUCCGGUGAAAUGUUUGGAUCGUGGCUACAUGGGUAGUUUGCUACCCGCGACAUCGUGAGAAGUCCAUUGAACCUUAUCAUUUUGAGGAAGUAGAAUUCGUAACAAGGUUUCUGUAGGUGAACCUGCGGAAG
rnacentral:rRNA from 1 species